rnacentral:rRNA from 1 species
ACUCCUACGGGAGGCAGCAGUAGGGAAUCUUCCACAAUGGGCGAAAGCCUGAUGGAGCAAUGCCGCGUGAGUGAAGAAGGUUUUCGGAUCGUAAAAACUCUGUUGUUGAAGAAGAACAUGCGUGAGAGUAACUGUUCACGUACUGACGGUAUUCAACCAGAAAGCCACGGCUAACUACGUGCCAGCAGCCGCGGUAAUACGUAGGUGGCAAGCGUUGUCCGGAUUUAUUGGGGCGUAAAGAGAAUGUAGGCGGUUUAUUAAGUUUGAAGUGAAAGCCCUCGGCUCAACCGAGGAAGUGCUUCGAAAACUGGUAAACUUGAGUGCAGAAGAGGAAAGUGGAACUCCAUGUGUAGCGGUGGAAUGCGUAGAUAUAUGGAAGAACACCAGUGGCGAAGGCGGCUUUCUGGUCUGUAACUGACGCUGAGAUUCGAAAGCAUGGGUAGCAAACAGGAUUAGAUACCCUGGUAGCACAGAG